rnacentral:rRNA from 1 species
UAGAGUUUGAUCCUGGCUCAGGACGAACGCUGGCGGCGUGCUUAACACAUGCAAGUCGAGCGGAAAGGCCCUUCGGGGUACUCGAGCGGCGAACGGGUGAGUAACACGUGAGUAACCUGCCCUUAACUCUGGGAUAAGCCUGGGAAACUGGGUCUAAUACCGGAUAUGACUCCUCAUCGCAUGGUGGGGGGUGGAAAGCUUUUUGUGGUUUUGGAUGGACUCGCGGCCUAUCAGCUUGUUGGUGAGGUAAUGGCUCACCAAGGCGACGACGGGUAGCCGGCCUGAGAGGGUGACCGGCCACACUGGGACUGAGACACGGCCCAGACUCCUACGGGAGGCAGCAGUGGGGAAUA